rnacentral:rRNA from 1 species
GAUGAACGCUGGCGGCGUGCCUAAUACAUGCAAGUCGAACGAACAGACGAGGAGCUUGCUCCUCUGACGUUAGCGGCGGACGGGUGAGUAACACGUGGAUAACCUACCUAUAAGACUGGGAUAACUUCGGGAAACCGGAGCUAAUACCGGAUAAUAUAUUGAACCGCAUGGUUCAAUAGUGAAAGACGGUUUUGCUGUCACUUAUAGAUGGAUCCGCGCCGCAUUAGCUAGUUGGUAAGGUAACGGCUUACCAAGGCAACGAUGCGUAGCCGACCUGAGAGGGUGAUCGGCCACACUGGAACUGAGACACGGUCCAGACUCCUACGGGAGGCAGCAGUAGGGAAUCUUCCGCAAUGGGCGAAAACCUGACGGAGCAACGCCGCGUGAGUGAUGAAGGUCUUCGGAUCGUAAAACUCUGUUAUUAGGGAAGAACAAAUGUGUAAGUAACUAUGCACGUCUUGACGGUACCUAAUCAGAAAGCCACGGCUAACUACGUG